rnacentral:tmRNA from 1 species
UGUGUCCAUUCGAUUGAAAGGCCUCGAACGCUGCUGUACCAUUCUCCCCAUGGUUGUAAUUCCGACAAUCUGGAGGCGUUCUGGACAGGGGUUCGAUUCCCCUCACCUCCACCUAAGGGCAUCACGGUGCUUUUAGAUGGGGGUGCACUGGUUUCGACAGGGCGGGCAAAGGUGAGUAGGCAACUCGUCAGGCGAUCGACGUUAAUGAAGCAAAUCC